GGAAUAUAAUAUUUAUAUACAAUGUCGUACUUGUUAUAUUAUACUGGCCAUUCAUAAUCAGUAAUGGAAGCGCAUAAUCAAGAAUGAUCUUGAAAAAAACGACCGAUUACAUAAAUAAAUGAGAGAAAUAUAUUAUUUGCUUUAUUCAUUAUUCUUAAUGGUUUGGUAUCAAUCAAAAAUCUUUUGAUGUUUUUCAGUUGUCCUACAAUUAUCUUAUAAAAGUCAUGAACCUUGGACCCACUGGACAAAUGUUGGGAUCUCUGAAUAAUUUAUCGCUGUCGCCGAUGUUUUGAUAGAUUUCAAUAACGAUGAAAUACAUUUACAACAGUUUUCUAUUAGUAAUGUUGGGCGUCUACGAGUCCGCUUGAGCGGCAACAUUUGUUUGAUUGGUUGCUGAAUCCAUUCAUUAGUGUCUUUAUGAGGAUCUUCGACAACGUUAUCAUGAAGUUUGUUGAGCUCACAAUUCGCAACGUAGCGCAAGUAGCAAUUGCAUCAAUUAAUUCAAAUAUUAAAGAAGUCAUUCAACGGAUUGAAGCACUCAAUUAAAAAAAUAAAACAUGU